AUGGGAUACUGGCUAGGGAUAUACAGAGAUAAAUCAUGUGAUCGAUCUAUUACUUCAGCGAUUUACUUCUCCUUCUGCGAUUCUUCCUUUCAUCUUCUUCGUUUUGAUUCACUUUCUUGCUUCUGUCAAAUUUUGAUGUUGCUACGAUGCGGAAUGAUAUUGAUGUUACCGAUUGGUGAUGUUAGUGUUCUAACUGUGUGUUGA